GACGAACGCUGGCGGCGUGCUUAACACAUGCAAGUCGAACGGAAAGGCCCUGCUUUUGUGCUGUGCUCGAGUGGCGAACGGGUGAGUAACACGUGUGUAACCUGCCCUUGACUUUGGGAUAACUUCAGGAAACUGGGGCUAAUACCGUAUCGGAUCUCCUGCUGCAUGGUGGGGGUUGGAAAUUUUCGGCGGUUGGGGAUGGACUCGCGGCUUAUCAGCUUGUUGGUGGGGUAGUGGCUUACCAAGGCUUUGACGGGUACCCGGCCUGGGAGGGUGACCGGCCACAUUGGGACUGAGAUACGGCCCAGACUCCUACGGGAGGCAGCAGUGGGGAAUAUUGCACAAUGGGCGGAAGCCUGAUGCAGCAACGCCGCGUGCGGGAUGACGGCCUUCGGGUUGUAAACCGCUUUCGCCUGUGACGAAGCGUGAGUGACGGUAAUGGGUAAAGAAGCACCGGCUAACUACGUG
rnacentral:rRNA from 1 species